ACAUCUGCAUGGCUGUACCAACUUGUCGGGUAGCUUAUCAGACUGAUGUUGACUGGUGAAUCUCAUGGCAACAGCAGUCGAUGGGCUGUCUGACAUCUUGGUAUCUCUCAUCUGACCAUC
rnacentral:precursor_RNA from 15 species